rnacentral:rRNA from 1 species
GACGAACGCUGGCGGCGUGCCUAAUACAUGCAAGUCGAGCGGGCCUCCGGAGGUGCUUGCACCUCCGGAAGGCCAGCGGCGGACGGGUGAGUAACACGUGGGCAACCUGCCUUUGAGGCCGGGAUAACACCGGGAAACCGGCGCUAAUACCGGAUACGUCCUCUUUCGCGCCUGCGAGAGGGGAGAAAGACGGUCUUUAAGGCCGUCGCUCAAAGAGGGGCCCGCGGCGCAUUAGCUGGUUGGUGGGGCAAGGGCCUACCAAGGCGACGAUGCGUGGCCGACCUGGGAGGGUGAGCGGCCACACUGGGACUGAGACACGGCCCAGACUCCUGCGGGAGGCAGCAGUAGGGAAUCAUCCGCAAUGGGCGAAAGCCUGACGGUGCAACGCCGCGUGAGUGAGGAAGGUUUUCGGAUCGUAAAGCUCUGUUGUGAGGGAAGAACAGCAUCCGGAGGAAAUGCCGGAGGUUUGCCGGUACCUCACCAGAAAGCCCCGGCUAACUACGUGCCAGCAGCCGCCGUAAGAC